rnacentral:lncRNA from 1 species
UCUGUCUCUCAAUAUAAAAUAAAAACAUUUUAAAAAAUGAAAAGCCCCAAAUACUGGCUGGCAGUAUUUGAUGACUAAUGGAGCCUGCAUGUGUACUCUAGAAGAUGUGGUCUGAAGCCUUCCCAGUCAGACGUAAUACGUGCUUUUUUAAAAAAAUUAAAUAUACCAAAUUUAUAAAUGCAAUUUAAAUUUUUAAGGGAAUGUACUUAACUGUGUUUCUGGAUGGAAACUAACUGUUGAGUAAAGGGACUUUAGACUUCAAUGUGAAUUAAUCAAAUAUUUUUUCAACGUUCCCCCAAGAGUUACAGUUUUGAUUUUAUUUUAUCAUUUUAAGUUUACAAAUAGAGUGAGCCGAAUCUAAAAACUUAGGGGCAUUUUUAUUUUUUCCAUUUGUAUCUCUAGUAAAAUAAAAUUUGAUUUUUUGAAUUUGUAUCUCUAAUAUGCUGAGUGUUCAUUAAAGACCUAAGUAUGUGUAAAUGCUGUCCGCUGUGCACAGAAAGCCCCCUGCGGACACUAGAAAGCCCACCCUGACAGAUGGAACAUGUGAUAGAUGAGGGCGAAAACAAAUCGUUGGAGUAAAGAAAAGGUUGAUGCGAGUGACAAAUGAACACAAGCAUAAACGUAAGUGGCGACAGGCCUGAGCCUUGACCCCGUCACCUAGAAAUGAUAAAUUUCACUCCAGGACCUCCAGAGCGCACGAUACCCUGGGAUGCAGGGAAGCCCACUGAUAAGGACACUGGCAAUUUCCACGGGCGUGUUCCUCAGAUUGGAUUAUCCAGGGACCAUUCCACUGAAACUGCAACCAAAGCUGCCUGUGGCCUCACUUUCCUGCCCAAGUGUGACUGCAGUCUGUUCUAUUUGCAGGUCACCACAGACCCGUUUCCCAAGCCAGUGAAAAACCACACUAUGCCACAGAUGGAUUUUAAAGGAUGGAUCUUUUUUCCAACAUGUGGCUUCCUGUAAUUUAAGGAAAUGUUAUACAUGAACAAUUAAAAUCAUAUAUCAAAAAAGACGCAAAGCCCAAUAGUUUCUUAUUCUAUCAAAUUACAAGAAAUGGGGGGGGAGCGGGGGAAG